ensembl:lncRNA
CUGAUUAUUAUUAUUAUUACAGUGGUACCUCGGGUUACAUAUGCUACAGGUUACAAACGCUUCAGGUUAUAGACUCCGCUAACCCAGAAAUAGUACCUCGGUUUAAGAACUUUGCUCCAGGAUGAGAACAGAAAUCGCGCAGCGGCGGUGUGGCGGCAGCGGGAGGCCCCAUUAGCUAAAGUGGUGCUUCAGGUUAAGAACGGACCUCCGGAACGAAUUAAGUACUUAACCAGAGGUGCCACUGUAGUAAUAAUAAUAAUAAUAAUAAUAAUAAUUUAUUAUUUAUACCCCGCCCCUCUGGCUGGGUUUCCCCAGCCACUCUGGGCGGCUUCCAACAAAAUAUUAAAAUACAAUGGUCUGUUAAACAUUAAAAGCUUCCCUAAACAGGGCUGCCUUCAGAUGUCUUCUAAAAGUCUGGUAGUUGUUGUCCUCUUUGACAUCUGGCGGGAGGGUGUUCCACAGGGAGGGCGCCACUACCGAGAAGGCCCUCUGCCUGGUUCCCUGUAACUUGGCUUCUCGCAGGGAGGGAACCGCCAGAAGGCCCUUGGCACUGGACCUCAGUGUCCAGGCAGAACGAUCGGAGAUAUACUGGACUGAGGCCAUUUAGGGCCUUUGAACACUUUGAAUUGUGCUUGGAAACGAAAAUCUACCCGCCUGGCGCUCUCCUCACCCCCGAUGUCUCCCCCCCUCUUUUCCCCUGCAACGCAGCAGCUUUCAGAUUGUGGCGCCUUCAGAAGGAGCGUCUGGAGAAAGAGGAGAUUCGCGCCCAGGAAGCUCUCGCCCUCCUGGAGAAAAAGAGGCUGGUGAGCGCGUUUGAGGCCUGGCGUUCCCGCUACAGGGCAGCCCGGCGGAUCCUGCCAUUGGUGGCUCAGGUGCAGAGAGGGCUGCUAAGCCGCCAUUUCCCCAGUGACUCGCAAGAUCUCGCUGCCACAGAUCUUCACAUGCAAGCGCCGUUCCCUCUGGGUUAUGGCCACACCCAGAAUCGGAGGCAGCUGCUGGCGAAAUGCUUUGCGUUUUGGUCGGCCAGGACUGUGCAAAACCUGAAGGCAGAACAACACCGCAAGCGGGCUCUCCUCUCCGGAUCUCAGGCCCAACUGAACAGGCCUCGGUCCAGUAUACCUGAAGGAGCAUCUCCACCUCCAUUGUUCUGCCUGGACACUGAGGUCCAAGCGCCAAGGGCCUUCUGGCGGUUCCCUUGCAAUGAGAAGCCAAGUUACAGGGAACCAGGCAGAGGGCCUUCUCGGUAGUGGCGCCUGCCCUGUGGAACGCCCUCCCGCCAGAUGUCAAAGAGGAAAAAAACUACCAAACUUUUAGAAGACAUCUGAAGGCAGCCCUGUUUAGGGAAGCUUUUAAUGUUUAAUAGGUUAUUGUAUUUUAGUGUUCUGUUGGAAGCCGCCCGGAGUGGCUGGGGAAACCCAGCCAGAUGGGUGGCGUAUAAAUAAUAAAUUAUUAAUUAUUAUUAUUAUUAUUAUUAUUAUUCCUCCCUGCAUCCAGAAAACUCCUCCAGGGAACGAUAUGCUCAGCUGAUCAGAUUCUCUGGCUAAACAGGAGGCACUGAAACUGGGCCACAAGGAGGAGCCAUGAACCCAAUGCCAAUUGUCCUAGCAGAGGCUGAACAGUUCUCAAAAUAUUCUCCAGAGAUCACAAGCAGAGGGUUUGCUCCCCACAUACGCUCUCAGUCCAAGCAUCCCAAGUUUCCACGGAAACGUUUUCACUGCCAGCCUACCAGAGGAAGGACCAGGGUCGGAUUAAACCCAGUGGAGGCUCCUAGGCAGUCAGAAUCUCGCAGGCCCCCUCACAAAUUAUUUCCCAAUUUUCUUUCAAGAUCAAAUCAAUAUUAUUUUGUUGUUGUUUUUGUUUUUUCCAUAAAUUUUUAUUAAUUUUCCAACAUAAAUUAAAAACAAUACAAAACACAAUACAUAGACAAACAAACAUAUAAACACGUAUAAUUUCAAAACCUCUUUUUCAUAAAUCUUACUUCCCCGACUUCCCCAUGCCUCCCCUUUCUGCAUCCCUAUUUUAAAAUUUCUUCAGCAACCCCUCACUUCAACUGAUUACUCAUUUUCUUUAUUUCCCCCCCUUCUUCUCUUACUUAAUCAUUUACAGCUGUACUUCUAUAUUGUUUCUUUACCCAUGGCAUUCUAGCACUCAUUAAUUUUACAACAGUUCUUAAGAUAUACUUUAAAUUUCUUCCAAUCUUCUUCCGCCGUCUCUUUUCCUUGAUCACGGAUUCUGCCAGUCAUCUCCGCCAGUCCCAUAUAAUCAAUCACCUUCGUCUGCCAUUCUUCCAGCGUGGGUAGUUCUUGUGUCUUCCAAUACUUUGCUAAAAGAACCCUUGCUGCUGUGGUAGCAUACAUAAAAAACAUCCUGUCCUUCCUUGACACCAAUUGGCCAACCAUGCCAAUCAAUAUUAUUUUGAUCCGUUGUUGAGGGGCCCCUAGGCUCGUAGGCCAGUGCCCAGUCUGUCUGUUUGGUAAUCUGGCACUGAGGAAGGACGCACCUUGACAUUGACAAUGUGGUAAUUCACUCGCUGGCCGUAGUUCUUCAACACUGUUUGGAGGGCUCUGACGUUCUCGCUGGAGGUGAAGAACUCCAGGUAAGCCUGGAAGGAGUCGAGAGAGGAGAUGUUGACACCAAAGAAUCCCAGCAAUGGCACAAUUUAAAUGUUUAAAUUAAUUUGGGGGGGAGAGAGCAGAGGUUUUUCUAUUAGGAAUUGUAGGUGCCGAUAUUCCAAGGGAGCAGAAAAUACUUUUUAUGUAUGUGACGACAGCCACCCGGUUGUUACUGGCCCAGAGAUGGAAAGAAGACAAAGUCCCUAAUGGGGAACCCAGAAUAAUGGUGCGCAAGGCCUUAUAUAGACAUUUUAAAUUCCCUGCCCUGUCACUCAAGACUACCCGUCCAUACAUCAUACCUACAUCACAGAAAAGGCGGUCUACAAUUUAAAUGUUGGACUACAGAAAUUUAAAAUUCAGUACCAAAUUAUCUAAGGUUGUUCACCAAAGCCAGACUAAACGUCUUUCCUUCUGCAGUGUUGGAUGGCAGGUUGAGAGGAGUUCCCUACCAGGACAGACUUUGCUCAUGUGCUCAAGACAUCGAUUCUAUAAAACAUAUUUUGCUGCGAAACAUGAGCAAGCCAAGGCUGAACUGAUAUUACCCUUGCUGGUACCUUUCCUGGGAAAAUCAGAGGCUCAUUAUGUCAGGUUCCUAUUGGAAGACCGGACAAACGCUAGAACAUUAGCAGUGGCAAAGUUUUUAUCGGUGGUUGCAAGAACCAAUGAUCCCUGACUUUAAGUCUGAACAAAAUGCUUGUUUAACCUGGAGGUAGGCUGUCUGAAUUGUGCAUUGCUUUGUAACAAUUUGUUGGGUCUCUGGACCGUAAUAAAGGGGGGAAAAAUCAAUGCUAAAAGCAGUUCAAAACAAUUUACAGUCACAGCGAUCUGCUGUGACCUGAAAAACGUGUCUCUUGGAUCAUAGAAUCAUAGAGUUGUAAGGGACCCGAGGGUCAUCUAGUCCAACCCCCUGCAAGGCAGGAAUCUCAGCUCAAGCAUCCAUGGCAGAUGCCCAUCCAACUCCUUUCCUGCAACUUGAAGCAACUGGUUUGAAUCCUACCUUCCAGAGCAGGAGGAAACAAGCUUGCUCCAUCCUCCAUGUGACAGCCAUCUUUGAAGAUGGCUACCAUAUCUCCUCUCAGUCUCCUCUUUUGCAGGCUAAACAUCCCCAGCUCCUUCAACCGUUCCUCACAAGGCUUAGCUUCUAGAUCAUCCUAGUUGCCCUCCUCUGCACACGCGAAGCCAAAGUGGUUGUGUCUUCAGCCUGUGAUGGGAGCAAUACAAUGAAGGUGCAUGAUCCAGGGGGCACGACUCUAAAUCCGGCCCUACUUCCCUGCCAGUUGGGCCUCGCUUGCACCUUCCUGCUUGGCCUCCACGUAUAGGGGCCUCUGUUCGACAUAUGCGGACGGCGCUUCCUCAGAGACAUCUGCGGCGGCCUCCUCAAAUCCCACCUGCAACAUCAGGAAGGAACCCUGUCAGGACAGAGCAACAGGGCAAGGAGGGAGAGGCCUGGGCGGAAAACCCAGAGCCUCCCUCAAACCCCACCCUGAAGCCAUCACCCAGCCAUACCCUCCAACGUUCCUUAGAUGAAAAGAGGGGCAUUUGUCACUCCCCACUCAACU